CAUUUUCAGUAAAGAAGUCCUGAGUAAACACGUUGUCGUUGAAUACCGCUUCUCUGCCGAACCUUAUAUUAGUGCCUCAAGCAGUAAUGUCUCAGUUUUAUCUAUGUCAAAGCCCGCGGGCUAAGAAAACACUCUAAGGAAUUUUGCAAAUGGCAAAGAUUAAAGGUCAAGUUAAGUGGUUCAACGAGUCUAAAGGUUUUGGUUUCAUUACUCCUGCUGACGGCAGCAAAGACGUGUUUGUACACUUCUCUGCAAUCCAGGGUAACGGCUUCAAAACUCUGGCUGAAGGCCAGAACGUUGAGUUCGAAAUUCAGGAUGGCCAGAAAGGCCCAGCUGCGGUUAACGUAACUGCUAU
rnacentral:sRNA from 1 species